GUUCGCCAGCAGCAGCAGCCAUCUUCUUUGUUUUGAAGUAGCAGGGGAUUCAUGCGGAACCUUCGCAACUUUGCCGUCAUUAUGUUAAGCCCCGCCCACCGACUCUAUACACGAUGUGAUUGGCCUGAACAGAAUUUGGUUCUUCCAGCUCGCAAGCCAACAGAGAAUCGCUAGAUGACCCUGACUGCAACUUACAUUUGCUGCCACUAGGGUGCAUCUAGAUUUCUAGGCUA